AAAAUGAAAAAGAAGAAAAAGAAAAGAAAAAAAUGAGAAAAGUUUGAUUAUAUGUAAAGGGCAGAACACCACCUGACCAUCACCCCUCGUUCUGGAUCGUUCGGCCACUCCCGACCGACACUUCGCUCAUUUCUCUCUGCCACGUAUGUCUCGAGAACCCUGCUUCUUCCGGUCACUCCACGUCUCGAGGCCUCAGUGAACACCUAACCGAGUCUACCUCGAGCCUCGCCAACACCCAGACGGCAGAGCACUUCCUGGACUCUUCAAGGACAAGCCUCUCCUCUGCUGCCCUGGCUUCACCCUCUCUCUACUUCUCGGCGCCGUCAACGAGUCUGUCUUCAGUGUUGGUGAGAUUAGUGUUCUGUGGCCUUCAUUCGCUCUGGAGGGAGACUCUUGGUGAGACCUGGGUGGUGUGCAAGGUGUCCAUUUUGUUAUAUUGUGUAUACCUGUGUUUUCCAAGUCUAGUAAACUUGGAACCAUUCGAAGCUGUUUAUUACCGCCCCUACCGGGUGAAGUGUACAUCCUGGGCUUAGUUUAGUGGGGGCAGGCCAGUGAUGGCGUUUCGCACCUCGCCUCCGGAACAAAUGGACUAAACUAGUAAGUUAUUACUUACAUUCUGGCGACCUCGCCACGAUAUUUAACUUAGUUUCUUUGGGGUGUUGAAUGUGUAGUGCAGAGUUACACUUCGGCGACCUCGCCAGGGUAUUUAACUUAGUCUCUUUGGGGUGUUGAAUGUGUUAGUGCCGAGUUGUGCGAACUUGCUGUUUCCCCAGUUUUUCUGUGCCUAAGUGUUUCAGUGGUGCAAUGUUUUUCUUUCUCGGACGUGUUGUGUAGUUAUACGUUCGUCCUCAGUGAAUUGAGGAAGAUUAGGUGCAGACCCACGUGUCCUCGAAUUUACACUUGAUUAAGUGCAGGUCCAGUGCCUUUUAGCCACCCCUCGUUCUCUUGGUUUAGCCACCCCUCGUUCUCUUGGACGAGCAGCCGCUAAUCCGGGGAUUUCGGCUGGUUCACAGUACCUUACUGUGGCUUGUGGCAGCGGAGUAUUUUGACGUCUUAUUUUGUCUCCUAGACGUUGUCUCCUAGACGUAAGUGUGGAGUAGCCAUUGCUCCUACACAGGAACUAGUUAUGCUCAGUGCUUGCUAGUGAGUCUCUGUACAUAUACUUUGUGUGCUGUCCUUGUGUGAGUGUCCUUGUGUGGGGUUCACUUGUAACUAUGUGUACGUUUUGCUUGACUGUAUGUGGUGCGAGUGAUGAAGUAAUCUCUAUCUACCUGUGAGAUAUUUGAUCCAUUUUUGGGUGUGGUUGUGCACUUCAUCAAUUUUUCUACCCUUGUGGUUUAUUUUAUACAUGCAUAAUUCAUGUGUGCGUGAGACAAGACAGUUUUCAUGGUUGACUCAACUGUGUCUUGACUGUUUAAUUCAUAUUAAGGGAUUCCCCUGUCCCUAGAUUUUAAAGUCUCUGCGUUGUUGGGUUUGGUAGUUUUGGUUCUAUUAUAAUCUAAGAUGUCUACUUUUGCUCUGCUUGCAAAACAAGCAAUAAAGCUCGGCCUCUCAGGAGAGGCCGUUGCUCAGUUUGCUCCAACAAGCUCUUCCAACGGGAAGAGCGCAGGAACGUCAACGAGAAAGGGAGCGUGAGGAACGAGAAAGGGAGCGUCAGGAACCAGAACGGGACGAACGUGAGAAGGAACGGGUAUUUGAACUUGCCUGCCAAGUUGAAUUUUAGUUUAGGGAGCGUGAGGAACGAGAAAGGGAGCGUCAGGAACCGUCACGGGACGAACGUGAGAAGGAACGGGUAUUUGAACUUGCCUGCCAAGUUGAAUUUUAGGGAGCGUCAGGAACCAGAACGGGACGAACGUGAGAAGGAACGGGUAUUUGAACUUGCCUGCCAAGUUGAAUUUUAGUUUAGAGUCGGGAGCACAUCCUACCCGAUGCUGGCGUGCGAGGACCGUAGCUUCCAGCUUACUAAGGAGAGGACAUCGCCGCCUACCUGACCAUUGAGCGUAUUGCUACGCUCUUAAUCUACGUGGAGUCUCGCUGUCAGAUUUGGGAGUCUACUGACGGGUAAAGCUGCUGAACUCUGUUCCACCUUUAGCACUGAUACCAUAAGUAUUUCUCCUCCUAAAAGGGGAUCUCCUGACUGGUUUUGACAAGAAUCCAGAGCGGCACCGGCUAGACUUCAGGAACUGUAUGAUCAGAGUGGGGAAAAUUGCCGCCAGAUGUCUACCAGUCUUCAGCAGGUAUUUGACUCCUGGGUGGAGUCUUGUCGUAUUUCAGCAACGUUUGAAUCCCUUCGUGAGUUUAUCAUUUUAGAUCGGUUCAUUGCUUCCCUUUCUUACGAUCUCCGUAUCUUAAAGGAGCAGGAUACCACCAACCUUAAGACUGCCGUGGUUAAGGCUGGUAUUUGGUCUGCAGCUCACAACGCCUACCCUAAGCAGAACUCCAGCAGAGCCACUGGGAUAUUACCUACCAUAACAGGGCCUCAACAUCUACUGAAAAGGGCAGUGGUUAAGGCUGGUAUUUGGUCUGCAGCUCACAACGCCUACCCUAAGCAGAACUCAGCAGAGCCACUGGGAUAUUACCUACCAUAACAGGGCCUCAACAUCUACUGAAAAGGGCAAUGAGGCCAUUAACGCUAAACCGGACCAAACAAGCUACUUCCGGAUGAAGUGUUACAACUGGCAUGUAAGGUCUGUGUCCAAAGGAUCCCAGAGCCUUUAAAGAACCACAGGACAAAUACAAGGUAGGAUUUUGUAUGGAUGAGCGGUCUCUCCCGGAUUAUGCAUUUGCCGGCAUGAUCAACGGCUCCUGGGCUACUAUUGUCGGACACCGGCUGCAAUUGCGUGAUCGUCUCUGAGAAGGCAGUGCCUGAUGCUGACUUCUCUCAGCGACCUAAGGUAGUAGAGGACUAUCUUGGCUGGGAAGAUAUUUUUCCAACCAUUAGGUGCUAUUUAAGAUGACCCUAUUUCGAGGGUUGGAUUGAUAAUGCUAUCCUAGCUCCUAUGAAGCGCGCUUGUGUCCUCAUUGGCAAUAUCUUAUGAGUUCGUAGUCCUGGUGAGCCGUCUCAAGAAUAUAGCAAAGCACCAUCCUCCUCGCUCUGUCAUGUCGGUGAUUUGGCUGGUUAUGCUUCAGUCUUCUCUGCCCACUACGAGCAUAUGCUGUGUUAACCCGCAGUAGCAGAAUGAAGCGUGAUCAUCCUCUAGUUUUACCAGAAUUGCAACCCUUGGACGUGACUUCAGAGGAUUUCGCUCGUCUUCAAGAGUGUCCGUCUCUUAAAUCUUAGGAACAAGUUAACACAGAUGAAGAGGAGCGGACAAAGGACGGCUCUACUUUGUUACCUUCGCUGUACCGGACGUCUCUACCGGAAGUGUCUGCCCUCGAAACGUCCAGCAAAGAGUGGCGGUCGAUUUGUUUAGACCACUGUCUCCCCCAUCCUCGGAAAGCCACGGGUACAUCCUCACUUUAAUAGACUACGCCACUGGGUUCCCAGAAGCCGUGCCACUGAAGGAAAUAGACUCCAUCUCCGUUGCUGAGGCCUUACUCUCCAUCUUCGCUAGAGUCGAGAUCUAUGGGAGGACCGGAACCUGAAGGACGACGACCGAUCCGCUGUCCGCUGUGUGGUAGAGCUACAGGAGAAGCUAGCAGAGACCGCGCAGAUCGCCGCCAACAAUGCAGACAUCAGUGCCUCGAAAUAUAAGAACUACUUUGACAUGGUCAAGAUAGACGGUUUCAACCUGGCGAUGAAGUCAUUCUUCCCAGCGAUUCUAGCAAGCUUCUUGUAACUUGGAAAGUAACUUGUACAGUUUAAGAGCGACGAGGUAAUGUUGACUACCUAAUUGAUUAUCCCCAAGGUCCGAGAUUGUACCACGUCAACCUCUUAAAAACCUUCCGGCUUCUUAAAACGUUACAUCCGUCGUGCUAGUGCCAGCUUUGCUAGAGUCUUGGACGUAAUGUCAACACCUGAAAGAGUCUUGGACGUAAUGUCAACACCUGAAGAGACCGAAGAGUAUGUCCCGGAGAACAACCACCUUAUUUGUGAAGACGACCCAGAGGACGAGUGCUACUCUCAGCCUGUGACACCUGAUGGCUGCUCCGACAAGGAUAGACGAUCCAGGAUCAAUUAAUUUCAUAAGGUGACAUCGAGUAUCUCCUGUCAGUUUGACGAUUGUUUUCUCAUGUUCCUGGGUGUACUUCCUCUGAACAUAUUAUCUUAACUACCACUGUCUGCAUCAGCACAAAGGUUUACCCUGUCCCUGUCCAUCUUAAAACGUUUCUUUGAACAGAAAAUCUCUGACCUUUUGAGAAAGGAAUCAUCCGACGGUCUUCUCAACAUUGUUCGCCGGUCGUGAUGGUUCCUAAGCCAGACAACACUUGUCGGAUGGCCAUCGACUGCCGUCAACUCGAAAGCCUCAGUCUUCCAGGCUGAGCCCAGCUGCAACAUUGAGGAAGAUGUGUACAAGUUUUCCGGUUCAAGAUUCUUCACUGAGUUAGAUCUCUGCAAGGCUUAUUACCAAGUCCCUUUGACAGAGCCAUGCCACUGACAGCUUUCCCAACCCACUUGGGCCUAAUGGAGUUCACCAGACUACCUUUCGGCCUGGUCACUGCUUGUGCCACCUAUAUCAAGCUCGCAAACGUGGCUUUUUAUUUUGAUAAUGUUUUUAUAUACUCUUCAGACUGAGCCCUGCAUUUAAAGACCCUUCAUGCCAUGCUGGACAGAAUCAGGACCCAUGGACAUGCAUUCAAGAUCUCCAAGUGCCAUUUUGGAUUCCCUUCCAUUCUAUACCUUGGAUUAAUUUUGGGAGGUGACUGUCUUCAUACCCAGCCUGACAAAGUGGAAGCGCUCUGCAAGAUACCACCACCAUCCACUGAGAAACUUCUACGAGGAUUUAUUGGAAUAGUAAGUUUCUACAAGUCUUUUAUCCCUCGGGCAUCCUUCCUCACUGGCCCUCUGACUGAUCUGCUAAAAGACUGUUCGUGAGCCCCUUCCCUGGACGGACGGGUUGCAGGCCUGUUUCGACCAGCUCAAAUUAAUCCUCUUCUAACCCCAUACUUCGUCUUCCCGAUCCUAGCCGUCCUUUUGUACUUGGACGGACGCAAGAAUGAUCGCCUUCACAAAUGGAGUCCAGGACUGCAACCAUACAAAGUCAGGGUCGUUCAUGUUGCUGGAGCUGACAAUCUAUGUGCCGACCUCAGUUGAGUUUAAAUAUUUUCUUCUAUCCUUUCUUUUCUCCAGAAGGCAUUGCAUUCCCUAGGAGUGGUGUUCUACAAGACUGCCGUGGCUACUCUCUUGGAGGGGGGAGUUAUGUAAAGGGCAGAACACCACCUGACCAUCACCCCUCACCACCUGACCAUCACCCUCGUUCUGGAUCGUCCGGCCACUCCCAAGCGACACUUCGCUCACUUCUCUCUGCCACGUAUGUCUCGAGAACCCUGCUUCUGGUCCCUCCACGUCUCGAGGCCCCAGUUAACACCUAACCGAGUCUACCUCGAGCCUCAUCAACACCCAGACGGCAGAGCACUCCCUGGACUCUCAAGGACUGGCCUCUCCUCUGCUGCCCUGGCUUCACCCUCUACCUGCUUCCUGGCGAUGUCAACGAGUCUGCCUACAGUGUUGGUGAGAUUAGUGUUUCUCUGGCCCUUCCUCGCUCUGGAGGGAGACUCUUGGUGAGAGCCGGGUGGUGUGCAGGGUGUCGUUGUUGUUAUUGUAUACCUAUGUUUUUGUAAGUCUAGUAAACUUGGAACCAUU
rnacentral:lncRNA from 1 species